UUCUUAUUAGCUCAAUGGUAGAGCAGAAUACUUCUAAUAUUUUGAUCCAAGUUCGAGUCUUGGAUAAGAA
rnacentral:tRNA from 1 species